rnacentral:rRNA from 1 species
GGAGUACUCCUUCUAAGCUAAAUAUCACCACGAGACCGAUAGCGAACAAGUACCGUGAGGGAAAGUUGAAAAGCACUCUGAAUAGAGAGUCAAAAAGUACGUGAAACUGCCUAGGGCUCAAGCCCGUUGAACUCGAUUAUCCGAGCGGAGACAUUCACCUGCGGUCGGCCGGCGACGGCACGCCGCAGGGCACUUGUCUCCCGCGCUCCAGAAGGACAUUGCGAUCCAUUACGAAACAGCUUUCGCGUCCGCGAGGACGCAAGGUCGCCCGACAGUUGCCCCUUGGUGCCGGUUGCUUGCCCCACAGUAGCGACGCUCAGUUCCGAAGGCCUGUGCCGCGAGGUGGGGCUUACUGCACGUGGUGUUCUGCAGUCGGGCGCGUGAUGGAUUCCCGCGCACACCGUCGGCCUUCCCGUAACGGGCCGGCGGACUGUCGAUCGGCAAUGAUAAAAUCGAGGUACCUUCGGGACCCGUCUUGAAACACGGAAAAAAAAAAUUAAC